GGUACCCCCUGCCCCCACUCCCACCGGAAAGCCCCCAGUCCCAUUUGGGACCCGGAGCAGGUCUGGCGCAGCCCCACCCUGUCCCGGUCACCCUGGCUCUGGGUCUGGCAAGACCUGACUCUCUGCCCCUCCCCUGCAGCCCAGUAGGGCCCUUUGCCCUCUUCUUCCUGCCAAGUCAGGGGGCCCUGGCUGCUCCCCUGCCCCCUGCCCAGGUCCUCACAAGUCUGGGCAGACCCUGAGGCCUCCCCCCACCCCAAGCUGGGAUCAGGACCUUGGACAGAAAAGAGAUAGUCCCGUAGAGAGCCUCUUUGGGGCUCUUCCUCCCACUGCCCAGUCAUGGCAAUUGAGAGACCAAACAGAGUGGCUGUGGAGUCCCAGCUGGGUGGCCUUAGUCAAGCUACCUCCCCUCUCUGGGCCUCAGUUUCCUCAUCUGUGAGGCAGUUAUCCCCAGCUUCUUUCCAGCAUUCAUCUUGACAUUCUCAGACCAUUUGCAUGUGAAACCCCAGCACAGGGUCAGACUGUUAGAAUUCCAGUUUAGGAGCCUUUGGGGAGGGCGGUCUCUGCAGCCCCUAGACCCCUACCCCUCCCACUCCUGCUGGGUAAGAGGUUGGUUGGCCCAGGCCUCCCCAGGUCACCAUCUUUACAAGUUAAUGAUCACAGGCCUUAUCAGAGCCUUUUACCGUUUAUAAAUUUAUAAAACAAAAGAGAAAUAAUAAAGCUCGUGGGUAAUUAGUAACCAGGUCAGCUUUGCUGAGGAGAGGGGAGGCUGCGGGCUCAGACCCACCCAGUUCUCCAGGAGGGGAGUUGGGGAGCCAGCCAGUGGAUGGGGGUGCACAAUGGGGAGACCUCACUGGCACACACCACUGGGGGGACCUGAGGCUGUGUAGGAAAGGGGAACAGGUCCUGCCCUGAGGUUCCAUCUCCCUCAGAACUGCCAUAAACCACACCCUCCAAAGGAACGAAGCUCCAACAUUCAAACUGCGAACUACCUUGAGCUAGCAGUUUCGCUCGUUGUCCGGCAGGUGUCGCUGUGGACCGCUCAAAAAAUCCUCCGCAGCCCGAAUCCUCGCGCAGUGGGGACGGUAGAUAAUUCAGUACGUGGUGGCUGCGAGCUUUAUUGCUAUUCUCUCCUGGGCGAGCAGCGAUUUGCAAAGGCAGAGUUCAGCCACGGGAGCCUUCACCUGCCUCCCCGGAGCAGGACCAGAAGCAGCAGGAAGCCCCAGACUGAGGGUUAGAAACACAGGUAUGUCGGGAUAAACCACAGUGAGCCAGAUGGAAAGAUGGUCUCCAAAGAGAUAUCCGUAGUUACCUUGAAAUAGUGGGAUUUCAGGAACUCACAGCACUGAAAAACUUAAGGAUUCCAAGGCCCCGCCCUCAUUGUUCGGAAUCAGACUGCAGAAAUUGACAGAGAAUCUCUUCUUUGAACAAGACCUUGGGCAGUUUUCUCAGGAUCAAGCAAAUUGCAGAAAGGAUCUCACACAGCUCCUUGGAUGUGUUUGAUGUGGCAUCCAUGAGUUAAGAAGCAAAAGCCAGAGCCCAGGGAUACUUCCUGUAAUACAAGGACCAGGAAUCAAAGAGAACAGAUAAAUAUGUUAGCCUGGACUUAAUGGGUCAGUCCCAGAGAGAGGCUGUGCUGCUGCCCACAGACUGAACUUGCCAGCUCUGGUAUGUAUGGCCCGCGCACGUGCCUGGCAAGUCUCAGAAGCAUUUGCUGUCCUCACCGGGUGGUUGUGAUCCUUCAGUGAGAUACACUGCUGUUGUGUCUCUGUGGCAAGCAGACAUCGAUGGAAUGUUAGUUUUCAGCCUAAUAUAAAAAUACCGGGUGUUUUGGGGCUGCCUGGGUGGCUCAGUGGGUUAAAGCCUCUGCCUUCAGCUCAGGUCGUGAUCCCAGGGUGCUGGGAUCGAGUCCCACAUCGGGCUCUCUGCUCGGCGGGGAGCUUGCUCCC